rnacentral:rRNA from 1 species
UACGAAGGGGGGCUAGCGUUGUUCGGAUUCAUUGGGCGUAAAGGGUGCGUAGGUGGCGCGCUAAGUCAGGUGUGAAAUUUCGGAGCUUAACUCCGAAACUGCAUUUGAUACUGGCGUGCUUGAGGACUGGAGAGGAGACUGGAAUUCAUGGUGUAGCAGUGAAAUGCGUAGAGAUCAUGAGGAAGACCAGUGGCGAAGGCGGGGUCUCUGGACAGUUCCUGACACUGAGGCACGAAGGCCAGGGGGAGCAAAACGGG